UCCACGCCGUAAACGAUGAGCACUAGGUGUCGGGGUCGCAAGGCUUCGGUGCCGCAGUUAACGCAUUAAGUGCUCCGCCUGGGGAGUACGCACGCAAGUGUGAAACUCAAAGGAAUUGACGGGGACCCGCACAAGCAGCGGAGCAUGUGGUUUAAUUCGAAGCAACGCGAAGAACCUUACCAGAGCUUGACAUCCCUCUGACCGGUCGGUAAUUCGGCCCUCUCUUCGGAGCAGAGGUGACAGGUGGUGCAUGGUUGUCGUCAGCUCGUGUCGUGAGAUGUUGGGUUAAGUCCCGCAACGAGCGCAACCCUUGUCAUUAGUUGCCAUCAUUUAGUUGGGCACUCUAAUGAGACUGCCGGGGACAACUCGGAGGAAGGUGGGGAUGACGUCAAAUCAUCAUGCCCCUUAUGUUCUGGGCUACA
rnacentral:rRNA from 1 species